rnacentral:rRNA from 1 species
UACGUAGGGGGCAAGCGUUGUCCGGAAUCAUUGGGCGUAAAGCGCGCGUAGGCGGCCCGGUAAGUCCGCUCUGAAAGUCCAGGGCUCAACCCUCGGAUGCCGGUGGAUACUGUCGGGCUUGAGUACGGAAGAGGCGAGUGGAAUUCCUGGUGUAGCGGUGAAAUGCGCAGAUAUCAGGAGGAACACCAAUUGCGAAGGCAGCUCGCUGGGACGUUACUGACGCUGAGACGCGAAAGCGUGGGGAGCAAACAGG